rnacentral:rRNA from 1 species
GAUUGGACGCUGGCGGCAGGCCUAACACAUGCAAGUCGAGCGGAUGAAGGGAGCUUGCUCCUGGAUUCAGCGGCGGACGGGUGAGUAAUGCCUAGGAAUCUGCCUGGUAGUGGGGGAUAACGUCCGGAAACGGGCGCUAAUACCGCAUACGUCCUGAGGGAGAAAGUGGGGGAUCUUCGGACCUCACGCUAUCAGAUGAGCCUAGGUCGGAUUAGCUAGUUGGUGGGGUAAAGGCCUACCAAGGCGACGAUCCGUAACUGGUCUGAGAGGAUGAUCAGUCACACUGGAACUGAGACACGGUCCAGACUCCUACGGGAGGCAGCAGUGGGGAAUAUUGGACAAUGGGCGAAAGCCUGAUCCAGCCAUGCCGCGUGUGUGAAGAAGGUCUUCGGAUUGUAAAGCACUUUAAGUUGGGAGGAAGGGCAGUAAGUUAAUACCUUGCUGUUUUGACGUUACCAACAGAAUAAGCACCGGCUAACUUCGUG